AGGGGGGCUGCCCCUGGGAAACGGAGCCUUUCCGUGCCCUGAGCUCUUUAAAAUUCCCCCCGGCCGCCUGUGAGCAGGUCAUUGUCUCCCGAGUCAGGUAGAAACCCUUCCCUCCCCCUCCCCUCCCGCAGCAAUCUGGAGAUAAAGUUCCCAUUCCGGAGCAGCAGCCGCAGGGAAGGAGCCCGUCCUAAGCCAUUCCCGGCGACUUUGCCAACGUGAUAAUAUUGUCCUUCAUCAGCCGCAGGAUUAAGGAGCAGGACAGAGCACGCGGCGCUGUGGAUUAAUGCCUUCAUUUUUUCAAGGUCAAACGCGGAGUUUGUGGGCUGAGAUUUCCAGCGGUUCCUUAUCCAGAGACACAGUGGAUCCAGCAGAGAGAUCCAGCGGAGCAGGGACCCAACCACAGGGCACUGGCAUCCAAUGGAAAAGCAGGAAUGAGGGAUUUAAAGAAGUUUGGAGAUGUUUCUGAAGUUAGGACAGACUUUGGUGACCGUGCACAGCCUGUUCCCACCGGGUUGAUCUUGGGAAAGGUUCUUCUGCUAAAGCCUUAGAGGAUAAUUGAACCCCAUCUAUUAACCAGGAAUUCUAUCCCACCAUCGCUGCUCUGAAGGAUAAAUGGGAGCCUUGUUCCCAUUCCUAGAGGAUAGAAUUUAGACAGACAUGAAUAAACACUUCUCAAACCUUCCCUUCCCUCCCUUUUGGAGGAAGCUGCUGGGGAAGAGAGGGAUCACAGCUCAGUCUCCAGGCUCAAGCUGGGGGAGCACGGAGUGACAAAGUGAAGAUGCUUUAGAGGAGGGAGAAGAAGUUUCUCUACUGGGAGAGGAUGGCUCUGAGGAAAAAACCAGAGUGUUUCUAAGCUGGAUAACAAGGAUUUCCCAAAAUAGCCAAGCAACAAUCCCUGGAGUGGGAAUUCCAGCUGAGGAUCUCCCCUCUCCUGCCACCAGCUCGGAGUUGUCCUUUCCUGCAGGGAGCAGAGGACAGAGAGUGCCUGUGCUGCUCUGGCUGCAGAAAGCACAGAAAGCCUUUCCAGGCUCUCUAUCCUCACAAGAGCAGAAGUCCCUGCCUGUACAUUUGUGCAAAUAAUAAAUAUUUGCCUGGCCACGGUUGGAUUGAAUCCUGA